rnacentral:miRNA from 2 species
AACUAAAAUAGAUUGUGAAAAAUU